GAUGCUACUGUGUAGGGCUCCACAUAGGCCAAACCAGUGAGAUGUCUAUGUCUCCCAACCUCAUCACCUGUCUCCCCUCUGUCUACCAUUCUUUCUCUGAAAGAAGUAAGUCAUGUUAGGACUUCCAUAUGACAAAACAUGCGUUCCUGUCCUGUGUCAUGCUCCCAGAUCCCUCUCUUGCUGUAGACAAAUGAAGCAAGAUGGCCCUCACCAGAACAUGUCCCUUCAACCUUAGACUUUCUUGACUUUAGAAAACAACCAAAUAAAAUUCUGUUCAUCAUAAAUUGUGCAUUUAGGGCAGUUCGAAGUGGAGUAAGGACAAUGGGCAAGUCACCUCAUUCAUUGGUCCAGAAUUUCCUCACUCCUGACUACUUUAACUACACUAUUGAAACUAGACUUUUCUGCCUCUCUGCUGAUCAUUCAUUCUUCGCAUAUACAAUAAAGUCUAACAUCUAUUUCAGC
rnacentral:lncRNA from 1 species